rnacentral:ncRNA from 1 species
CACCCUCAAUUCAUAUGGGACUCCCCCCUGAAUUUAAGCAUAUUAAUUAGGGGAGGAAAAGAAACUACCAAGGAUUUUCUUAGUAGCGGCGAGCGAAAAGAAAUCAGUUCAGCACUAAGUCACUUUGUCUAUAUGGCAAAUGUGAGAUGCAGUGUAUGGAGCGUCAAUAUUCUAGUAUGAGAAAUUAACGAUUUAAGUCCUUCUUAAAUGAGGCCAUUUACCCAUAGAGGGUGCCAGGCCCGUAUAACGUUAAUGAUUACUAGAUGAUGUUUCCAAAGAGUCGUGUUGCUUGAUAGUGCAGCACUAAGUGGGUGGUAAACUCCAUCUAAAACUAAAUAUAACCAUGAGACCGAUAGUAAACAAGUACCGUGAGGGAAAGUUGAAAAGAACUCUGAAUAGAGAGUUAAAUAGUACGUGAAACUGCUUAGAGGUUAAGCCCGAUGAACCUGAAUAUCCGUUAUGGAAAAUUCAUCAUUAAAGUUAUAAUAUUUAAACAAUAUUAUACAAAUAAUGUGCAUUUUUUCCAUAUAAGGACAUUGUAAUCUAUUAACAUAUUAAAUUUAUCAUAAAAUAUGGCUUAUAGUUUAUUCAAAUUAUUAUGCUUGCAUUUUAACAUAGAAUAAAUGUCAUUAAUUUGAUAAAGUGUUGAUAGACUAAUAAGAAUACAGUGCGUUAAUUUUUCGGAAUUAUAUAAUGGCAUAAUUAUCAUUGAUUUUUGUGUUUAUUAUAAGCACUUGUAUGAUUAACAAUGCGAAAGAUUCAGGAUACCUUCGGGACCC